rnacentral:rRNA from 1 species
GUGAAAUUGAACUCGCUGUGAAGAUGCAGUGUACCCGCGGCAAGACGGAAAGACCCCGUGAACCUUUACUAUAGCUUGACACUGAACAUUGAGCCUUGAUGUGUAGGAUAGGUGGGAGGCUUUGAAGUGUGGACGCCAGUCUGCAUGGAGCCAACCUUGAAAUACCACCCUUUAAUGUUUGAUGUUCUAACGUAGACCCGUGAUCCGGGUUGCGGACAGUGUCUGGUGGGUAGUUUGACUGGGGCGGUCUCCUCCCAAAGAGUAACGGAGGA